GCAUCAGUGGUAUGAUGGUUAACAUGUGGUUUUCCCAUGUACGAAAAAUAUGGUACUGUGGCCGCAUUCGGGGUUCAAUUCUCCGUUGAUGCA